rnacentral:rRNA from 1 species
GGCCUGAGGCAGCGCGCCCGCGUGAGCGAGAAGGUCUUCGGAUCGUAAAGCUCUGUUGUCAGGGAAGAACAAGCGCACGGUAACUGGCUGCGCCCUGCCGGUACCUUACUGCAAAGCCACGGCUUAAUACGUGCCAGCAGCCGCGGUAAUUA